rnacentral:rRNA from 1 species
CGCGGUGGGAACCUGCCUUUAGGUUCGGAAUAACUCAGAGAAAUUUGAGCUAAUACCGGAUGAUGUCUUCGGACCAAAGAUUUAUCGCCUUUAGAUGGGCCCGCGUUAGAUUAGAUAGUUGGUGGGGUAAUGGCCUACCAAGUCGACGAUCUAUAGCUGGUCUGAGAGGAUGAUCAGCCACACUGGGACUGAGACACGGCCCAGACUCCUACGGGAGGCAGCAGUGGGGAAUAUUGGACAAUGGGCGAAAGCCUGAUCCAGCAAUGCCGCGUGAGUGAUGAAGGCCUUAGGGUUGUAAAGCUCUUUUACCAGGGAUGAUAAUGACAGUACCUGGAGAAUAAGCUCCGGCUAACUCCGUGCCAGCAGCCGCGGUAAUACGGAGGGAGCUAGCGUUGUUCGGAAUUACUGGGCGUAAAGCGCGCGUAGGCGGCUUUUUAAGUCAGGGGUGAAAUCCCGGAGCUCAACUCCGGAACUGCCCUUGAAACUGGGAAGCUAGAAUAUUGGAGAGGUAAGUGGAAUUCCGAGUGUAGAGGUGAAAUUCGUAGAUAUUCGGAAGAACACCAGUGGCGAAGGCGACUUACUGGACAAUUAUUGACGCUGAGGUGCGAAAGCGUGGGGA